GGCAGAUAUUGCAGCAAACAAAAUGUUAGCUUCUUUUCUUCUUCGAACCUUGUACAUUGCAUCAAUCAUGGUAUUGAAUAUUGUAAUAUCGAACUUCACAUCCGUUGCACCUAAUUUGUGGAACAGUACGAUUGCUUCCUCAGUGCAAUUAUUCCUACAAAGUUCUCCUAGAAUUUGUACCGUAUGUUGAAAUGCUCACUGUUGUUCCACUUUCAAUCAUCUGAUGGGCAAUCUCCGCAGCUUCCUUGCUUCUUCCAUGGUUGCAAAGGGAGGCCACGAAUGAGUUCCGACGUGUUGCAGUGCAACACCACUAGUGAUUUUCGAGCAGCUCCCAUGGAAGCCCGACAUAGCAGCUCCACGCUCCAUUGUAGCGCCAGCAAAGCUUCAAUGGCCCCCACGACGCUUCAUUGAAACUCCGGCGGCGCUUCAUUGCCACCACGCGCGCUUCACUGCAACCCCGACGGCUCCGCCGAUGCUUCAUGGCAACUCCGGUGAGCCCUUUCUGCUUCACCAGCUGAUGCGGCCCGUCACCACACUGUUGGUGCCGCCAUGCUGCACUGCAGCUCCACGGACACCGAGCUGCUUUUUCAUCGCAACACCCCUCGCCUGAGUUGUGUUGCAGCAGGCGUCGCCGCCGAGGUUGCUUUCAAGCAUCUGUUGCCGACGACGGCGAGGACGAUGGAUGCAGCAGCGUGCGGUCCCUCCAGUGUUGCAGCAAUGGUGUUGCUGCCGAAGUGGGUUGUGCAACAACGGGAGUAGCGGCAGGAGAUCCUUGCAGUGGGUGGUCGGAGACAGGUUGAACGGCGGUGGUGGUGAGGUGCGGCGAGUGGAGAUGGAGAAAACGAACAGAGCAAAGGGAGGAAGAAGAAACU
rnacentral:rRNA from 1 species